AAAGCCAAAAGCCCCUCAGCUUGUUUACCGAAUGGACUGAAAUUCAGAGAGAGAGAGAGAGAGAGAGAGUCUAUGUGCAUAACACCUAUCUUAUUUUGUCAAGUUCUAUAUUUGGAUUCUACAUUUAGAAUGAUAUUUUCCCCCUUUUGGCAGAUGAGGUCUCUAAUACAUCAAACUGGAACAAGUGGACUUGUGCAUGUUCUUAAGCGUAUCAGGGAACCAAGGCUUUCCUAUUGAAACCAACUGCUAGCUCAUGUCGCUGCAGUCCUGGUACGCCAACAAUUCCAUCGGGAACCAAGGCUUUCCACCACCGUAUGUGAUUUCGUCUGCUGCUGCAAAAUCAGCCGCCUUUGUUCCCCAGAUUGCAGGUUGCUUCCAACAUGCUUUACAUUGCUUGGGUGGAAAUGCUCAAUUCCAACCAACUAAGGAUGAUGAAUACGUAUGAGGAUGUUGCUGAACUUGUUGAGGCCCUUCCCAACUCCCAAGGAAGUGUGGUUGCAUACAUCUCCAAAAUUUUUGGAUGUUUUACAAUUCUGCAACGCUGGAUAUGGAGUAGCUAUAGAAAACUACGAGGUCAAUGUGAAAACAUAAUAGAACGGUGAUAUGGUUGCUUAUGUACUGUACCAUUGAAGUUACAUAAAUGAUAGGAGAAGCAGGUGUUGAGGCUGCAUUCAGGGGACUUGAGAAGCAUGUUCCACACCAAUUCUCAUUAAUGAUAUCCUCUCAUUCUGCAAGUGUGAAAGGGCUUGCCGCCAGAGUUUUGUUCACAGAAUCAUCAUUGAAGUCACUCGAGGAAUCAUAACACCACUAAAAUUCAGAAAUGAGUUACUUGUAAUUUGACAAUCUUUUACUUUAAUAUUUCCUCAGCAAAAAUGGUUCACCAAAACAUGCUUGUUCAUGGGAAAAUGACUCUAUACACUAGGUAUUUUCUCUGAAAUUUUAUAGCUUCUCCCUUCCUGUU